GAAAGUAAACAAGGGCGCAUGGCGGAUGCCUUGGCUCUCGGAGGCGAUGAAGGACGUGAUAAGCUGCGAUAAGCUCCGGGGAGGUGCAAAUAACCUUUGAUCCGGGGAUUUCCGAAUGGGACAACCCGGCGUGUUGAAGACACGCCACCUGAUCAUUUCAGGAGCUAACGCAGGGAACUGAAACAUCUUAGUACCUGCAGGAAAAGAAAAUAACAAUGAUUCCCCCAGUAGUGGCGAGCGAACGGGGAAUAGCCCAAACCGUUCAUGUUACGGCAUGAUCGGGGUUGUAGGACUACGUCGUUGCAUGAAGACAUCGGAGAAGAACUUUCUGGAAAGGAAGACCAUAGAGCAUGACAGUUGCGUAUUCGUAUGUUGUCGAAGCAUAGUAGUAUCCUGAGUAGCGCGGAGCACGAGGAAUUCUGCGUGAAUCUGCCGGGACCAUCCGGUAAGGCUAAAUACUCCCGAGAGACCGAUAGCGAACCAGUACCGUGAGGGAAAGGUGAAAAGCACUUCGAACAGAAGAGUGAAAUAGUUCCUGAAACCGUGCGCCUACAAGCGGUCGGAGCUGCUUAAAGCAGUGACGGCGUGCCUUUUGCAUAAUGAACCUACGAGUUGCCUUUGCCGGCAAGGUUAAGUGUGACGACACACGUAUCCGAAGCGAAAGCGAGUCUGAAGAGGGCGUAUAGUCGGCAGUGGCAGACGCGAAACCAAGUGAUCUACCCUUGGCCAGGUUGAAGGCUGGGUAACACCAGCUGGAGGACCGCACCAAUAAGCGUUGAAAAGCUUCUGGAUGAGCUGAGGGUAGGGGUGAAAGGCUAAUCAAACUUGGAGAUAGCUCGUACUCCCCGAAAUGCAUUUAGGUGCAGCCUUGUGGGUUACUGAUGUGAGGUAGAGCGACUGAUAAGAUGCGAGGGCUUCACCGCCUAUCAAGUCUUGACAAACUCCGAAUGCGCAUCAGUUUUACCUCAGGAGUGAGGGCAUGGGUGCUAAGGUCCGUGCCCGAGAGGAGAAGAAUCCGGACCACCUGCUAAGGUCCCGAAAUGACAGCUAAGUUAAACUAACGAAGUCUGACUGCUAAGACAGCUAGGAUGUUGGCUUGGAAGCAGCCAUUCAUUUAAAGAGUGCGUAACAGCUCACUAGUCGAGGAGUCUGGCGUGGAUAAUAAUCGGGUAUUAAGUUGUCUACCGAAGCAGUGGGAUCAUUGAAAUGAUCGGUAGGGGAGCAUUCCAGUCAGCGUCGAAGGCGUACCGCGAGGUAUUCUGGAGCGUCUGGAAAAGCAAAUGUAGGUAUAAGUAACGAUAAAGGGGGCGGGAAACCCCCUCGCCGAAAGACUAAGGUUUCCUGAUCAACGCUAAUCGGAUCAGGGUAAGUCGGGUCCUAAGGCUCAGCCGAAGGGCGAUGCCGAUGGCAGAAACGGUUAAUAUUCCGUUACUACCUCCAGGAGUGAUGUGGAGACGCAGUAGUGACAAUGCCGCCAUCUGACGGAAUAGAUGGUUGAAGGGUGUAGAUGUUGAUCUUGGCAGGCAAAUCCACCAUGAGAAUCGAACCUGAUAGUAUGCCGCGUCCCUCGGGACAAGGCAAUAGUGCAUGUAAUCAUGCUGCCAAGAAAAUCCGCUAAACAAAAUCCUGUAGGUACCCGUACCGUAAACGGACACACGUAGUCGGGAUGAAUAUUCUAAGGCGCUUGAGUGAUUCACGGUUAAGGAACUAGGCAAACUGACCCUGUAACUUCGGGAUAAAGGGUCCCUACCCGGUGACGGGAGGGCGCAGAGAAUAGGUCCAGGCAACUGUUUAACAAAAACACAGGGCUGUGCUAAAUCGAAAGAUCCUGUAUACAGCCUGACACCUGCCCGGUGCUGGAAGGUUAAGAGGAGACGUCAUCGUUGAGAGAAGCGUUGAAUUGAAGCCCCAGUAAACGGCGGCCGUAACUAUAACGGUCCUAAGGUAGCGAAAUUCCUUGUCGGGUAAGUUCC
rnacentral:rRNA from 1 species